rnacentral:rRNA from 1 species
ANACUGCUAGUACCGUGGACACCAGCCCUUAGGUUGGGUAUAAACCCGGGAAACUGGGUAUAAUACCCGAUAGGUCUCGAUUGCUGGAAUGCAUCGAGAUUUAAAGCUCCGGCGCCUAAGGAUGGGUCUGCGGCCUAUCAGGUAGUAGUGGGUGUAGCGUACCUACUAGCCUACGACGGGUACGGGUUAUGAGAGCAAGAGCCCAGAGAUGGAUUCUGAGACACGAAUCCAGGCCCUACGGGGUGCAGCAGGCGCGAAAACUUUACAAUGCUGGCAACAGCGAUAAGGGAACCUCGAGUGCCAGGUUACAAAUCUGGCUGUCGAGAUGCCUAAAAAGCAUUUCAUAGCAAGGGCCGGGCAAGACCGGUGCCAGCCGCCGCGGUAACACCGGCGGCUCGAGUGGUAACCGUUAUUAUUGGGUCUAAAGGGUCUGUAGCCGGCCGGAUAAGUCUCUUGAGAAAUCUGGCAGCUUAACUGUCAGGCUUUCAGGAGAUACUGUCUGGCUCGAGGCCGGGAGAGGUGAGAGGUACUUCAGGGGUAGGGGUGAAAUCUUGUAAUCCUUGAAGGACCACCAGUGGCGAAGGCGUCUCACCAGAACGGACCUGACGGCAAGGGACGAAAGCUAGGGGCACGAACCGGAUUAGAUACCCGGGUAGUCCUAGCCGUAAACGAUACUCGCUAGGUGUCGGCCACGGUGCGACCGUUGUCGGUGCCGUAGGGAAGCCGUGAAGCGAGCCACCUGGGAAGUACGGCCGCAAGGCUGAAACUUAAAGGAAUUGGCGGGGGAGCACCACAACGGGUGGAGCUUGCGGUUUAAUUGGAUUCAACGCCGGAAAUCUUACCGGGACCGACAGCAAUAUGAAAGGCCAGGCUGAAGACUUUGCCGGAUUAGCUGAGAGGUGGUGCAUGGGCCGUCGUCAGUUUCGUACUGUGAAGCAUCCUGUUAAGUCAGGCAACGAGCCGAGACCCGGA